rnacentral:rRNA from 1 species
CGAAAGCCUGACGGAGCAACGCCGCGUGAGGGAUGAAGGCCUCUGGGCUGUAAACCUCUUUUCUCAAGGAAGAAGAUCUGACGGUACUUGAGGAAUAAGCCACGGCUAAUUCCGUGCCAGCAGCCGCGGUAAUACGGGAGUGGCAAGCGUUAUCCGGAAUCAUUGGGCGUAAAGCGUCCGCAGGCGGCCCUGAAAGUCUGUCGUUAAAGCGUGGAGCUUAACUCCAUUUCAGCGGUGGAAACUACAAGGCUUGAGUGUGGUAGGGGCAGAGGGAAUUCCCGGUGUAGCGGUGAAAUGCGUAGAUAUCGGGAAGAACACCAGUGGCGAAGGCGCUCUGCUGGGCCAUAGCUGACGCUCAUGGACGAAAGCCAGGGGAGCG